rnacentral:rRNA from 1 species
GAUGAACGCUGGCGGCGUGCCUAAUACAUGCAAGUAGAACGCUGAAGGAGGAGCUUGCUCUUCUGGAUGAGUUGCGAACGGGUGAGUAACGCGUAGGUAACCUGCCUGGUAGCGGGGGAUAACUAUUGGAAACGAUAGCUAAUACCGCAUGACAACAGUUAUUGCAUGAUAACUGUUUAAAAGGGGCAACUGCUCCACUACCAGAUGGACCUGCGUUGUAUUAGCUAGUUGGUGAGGUAACGGCUCACCAAGGCGACGAUACAUAGCCGACCUGAGAGGGUGAUCGGCCACAAUGGGACUGAGACACGGCCCAGACUCCUACAAGAGGCAGCAGUAGGGAAUCUUCGGCAAUGGACGGAAGUCUGACCGAGCAACGCCGCGGGAGUGAAGAAGGUUGUCGGAUCGUAAAGAUCUGUUGUAAGAGAAGAACGAGUGUGAGAGUGGAAAGUUCACACUGUGACGGUAUCUUACCAGAAAGGGACGGCUAACUACGUG